GAGUUUGAUCCUGGCUCAGAACGAACGCUGGCGGCGUGGAUAAGACAUGCAAGUCGAACGGGAGAAUUGCUAGCUUGCUAAUAAUUCUCUAGUGGCGCACGGGUGAGUAACACGUGAGUAACCUGCCCCCGAGAGCGGGAUAGCCCUGGGAAACUGGGAUUAAUACCGCAUAGUAUCGAAAGAUUAAAGCAGCAAUGCGCUUGGGGAUGGGCUCGCGGCCUAUUAGUUAGUUGGUGAGGUAACGGCUCACCAAGGCGAUGACGGGUAGCCGGUCUGAGAGGAUGUCCGGCCACACUGGAACUGAGACACGGUCCAGACACCUACGGGUGGCAGCAGUCGAGAAUCAUUCACAAUGGGGGAAACCCUGAUGGUGCGACGCCGCGUGGGGAAUGAAGGUCUUCGGAUUGUAAACCCUGUCAUGUGGGAGCAAAUUAAAAAGAUAGUACCACAAGAGGAAGAGACGGCUAAACUCUGUGCCGGCAGCAGCCGCCGU
rnacentral:rRNA from 1 species